GACGAACGCUGGCGGCGUGCUUAACACAUGCAAGUCGAACGGAAAGGCCCUGCUUUUGUGGGGUGCUCGAGUGGCGAACGGGUGAGUAACACGUGAGUAACCUGCCCUUGACUUUGGGAUAACUUCAGGAAACUGGGGCUAAUACCGGAUAGGAGCUCCUGCUGCAUGGUGGGGGUUGGAAAGUUUCGGCGGUUGGGGAUGGACUCGCGGCUUAUCAGCUUGUUGGUGGGGUAGUGGCUUACCAAGGCUUUGACGGGUAGCCGGCCUGAGAGGGUGACCGGCCACCUUGGGACUGAGAUACGGCCCAGACUCCUACGGGAGGCAGCAGUGGGGAAUAUUGCACAAUGGGCGGAAGCCUGAUGCAGCAACGCCGCGUGCGGGAUGACGGCCUUCGGGUUGUAAACCGCUUUAGCCUGUGACGAAGCGUGAGUGACGGUAAUGGGUAAAGAAGCACCGGCUAACUACGUG
rnacentral:rRNA from 1 species